GAUGAACGCUGGCGGCGUGCCUAACACAUGCAAGUCGAGCGAUUUACUUCGGUAAAGAGCGGCGGACGGGUGAGUAACGCGUGGGUAACCUGCCCUGUACACACGGAUAACAUACCGAAAGGUAUGCUAAUACGAGAUAAUAUGCUUUUAUCGCAUGGUAGAAGUAUCAAAGCUUUCGCGGUACAGGAUGGACCCGCGUCUGAUUAGCUCGUUGGUAAGGUAACGGCUUACCAAGGCGACGAUCAGUAGCCGACCUGAGAGGGUGAUCGGCCACAUAGGAACUGAUACACGGUCCGAACUCCGACGGGAGGCAGCAGUGGGGAAUAUUGCACAAUGGGCGAAAGCCUGAUGCAGCAACGCCGCGUGAGCGAUGAAGGCCUUCGGGUCGUAAAGCUCUGUCCUCAAGGAAGAUAAUGACGGUACUUGAGGAGGAAGCCCCGGCUAACUACGUGCCAGCCGCCGCUGUAACAC
rnacentral:rRNA from 1 species